UAGCGUCACUCAAGAAAAAUAACGUCGGAGAAAUGCUACGGCGCAUGCGUUGGAUUACUAUCCACAAUAUGGUGUACAGUGAGUUGUAAACACAUUUUAGGUCUGAAAAUAUUUUUAAAAAACAUUGUUAUAAUAAUGGAACGUCGCGUAGUUGUUGGUGGUUUCACGUGCGCAAUGCAAGAUUGCAAUAAAAAUUCCGGCUCCAGUCGUCACUUGAGCUUUUUUCGCUUUCCAUCUCAUCCAGAAAGGUGACUGAAUUCCUGUUCAAUUAUUCAACACAUACCUAUCCACAAAAUGGAGCUUAUCUUAUAAGUAUUCAUACGUAUUCAUAAUAACAAGACAGAAAUCAAUUUAAGUACAUUAAACAGAUAAACAAUAAUACACCUGAUAAUA